AGCAGCCGCGGUAAUUCCAGCUCCAAUAGCGUAUAUUAAAGUUGUUGCAGUUAAAAAGCUCGUAGUUGAAUUUCGGGGUCGGUAGGCUGGUCAUGCCAUCGGUAUGCACUGGUCUCACCGAUUCCUCCCUCUUGUAGAAGCGUAAUGCCAUUCAGUUGGUGUUGCGGGGAAACAGGACUGUUACUUUGAAAAAAUUAGAGUGUUUAAAGCAGGCUA
rnacentral:rRNA from 1 species